rnacentral:rRNA from 1 species
GAUGAACGCUAGCGAUAGGCCUAACACAUGCAAGUCGAGGGGUAGCACAGAGUAGCAAUACUUGGGUGACGACCGGCGCACGGGUGAGUAACACGUAUGCAACCUACCUAUAACAGGGAGAUAACCCGGAGAAAUCCGGACUAAUACCCCAUAACACAGGGAUGCCGCAUGGCAAUAUUUGUUAAAGAUUAAUCGGUUAUAGAUGGGCAUGCGUUCCAUUAGCCAGUUGGUGAGGUAACGGCUCACCAAAGCAACGAUGGAUAGGGGAACUGAGAGGUUUGUCCCCCACACUGGAACUGAGACACGGACCAGACUCCUACGGGAGGCGGCAGUGAGGAAUAUUGGUCAAUGGGCGAGCGCCUGAACCAGCCAAAUCGCGUGAAGGAAGACUGCCCUACGGGUUGUAAACUUCUUUUAUAGGGGAAUAAAAAAGGGAACGAGUUCCCUAUUGUAUGUACCCUAUGAAUAAGCAUCGGCUAACUCCGUGCCAGCCGCCGCCGUAA